rnacentral:rRNA from 1 species
AGCGAACGCUGGCGGCAGGCCUAACACAUGCAAGUCGAACGAACUCUUCGGAGUUAGUGGCGGACGGGUGAGUAACACGUGGGAACGUGCCUUUAGGUUCGGAAUAACUCAGGGAAACUUGUGCUAAUACCGAAUGUGCCCUUCGGGGGAAAGAUUUAUCGCCUUUAGAGCGGCCCGCGUCUGAUUAGCUAGUUGGUGAGGUAAAGGCUCACCAAGGCGACGAUCAGUAGCUGGUCUGAGAGGAUGAUCAGCCACAUUGGGACUGAGACACGGCCCAAACUCCUACGGGAGGCAGCAGUGGGGAAUCUUGCGCAAUGGGCGAAAGCCUGACGCAGCCCUGCCGCGUGAAUGAUGAAGGUCUUAGGAUUGUAAAAUUCUUUCACCGGGGACGAUAAUGACGGUACCCGGAGAAGAAGCCCCGGCUAACUUCGU